GGGACGGGUGAGUAAUGCUUGGGAAUCUAGCUUAUGGAGGGGGAUAACUACGGGAAACUGUAGCUAAUACCGCGUAAUAUCGAAAGAUUAAAGUGUGGGACCUUUCGGGCCACAUGCCAUAGGAUGAGCCCAAGUGGGAUUAGGUAGUUGGUGAGGUAAAGGCUCACCAAGCCGACGAUCUCUAGCUGGUCUGAGAGGAUGACCAGCCACACUGGGACUGAGACACGGCCCAG
rnacentral:rRNA from 1 species